GUCUAUGGCCACACCACUCUGAGUGCACCCAAUUGUGCCCAAUCUUGGAAGCUAAGCAGAGUUAUACUAGAAAGGGAGAAUUUAACUUAGAUUGAUGUGCAUGCACUCAAUCAUCUAUGGUAAAGACA
rnacentral:rRNA from 1 species